UUUAAGCCUUAGCACCAGUCUCUGGGAAGAAGGGAGCCUUGGAGGAGACAGAGCUGAGCCCAGGACCGUCCUCUGGUUGACCAAAAACGACCCUAAUGUCACCUGACCUGAAUUGCUGGCCAAAGUAUUUCGGGAAGAACAUUCUUCCAACACAAGAUGAAGGAGCACAAUGGGGGUUGUGCAUGUGACUGGG